rnacentral:lncRNA from 1 species
AACAUCAGGGACACCAGUAGCGUCUUCUGCGGCUGUAGCGUCCCGGGUAGCCCCAGAUGGCCCUGGGGAGAGUCCCGGUCUCAAACUGCUACUGGGCACAGGGAGCAAGAGCCUGCGAGACUGUGCCUCCAGGUCAGGUCUAGAUUUGGGCUCCCGGCAGUGGAAGAGCCAGCUCCCUGGCCAGGAGGCGGGGAAGGGCCAGUCACUGCCGCCUCUUGGAAAAUCCUUGCUGCGCUGUGACCGGCUUGCACACUCGGCAGCCGCCUCUCCGCUUCAUGCACCCUCCGGUAAUGAAAAGUAUUUAGUAAUAGCCUUUUGCUGCAACUUUUUUCCUGAUAAUCCUUCUUCUUCUGAACUUUCUUUUUCUUUCUGACUAGAGUUCCUGGGUUCUUAUCAACACAUGCCCUAACUAUUCUUGGUUCCACUGGGGUGCUUCCUUCCCUUAGUAAUUUACUUUUCACCCCUUCCAUAUUUUCAGCACAAAAACAAUACAAUACACUGAGACAAAACAAGACACAAACAUACUGUAUCAAUCUUUUCCAUUUUCUUGAAAUGACCAUUUUUCCUCUCGCCGUAUCUGCCUAGGGAUGAGCAGAUUUGCUCCCGUCCUAUCUAUGGACGGGCAGCUUUUUUUUUUUGUCACUUACCCCCGAGUGUCCCGGGGCUCCCGGUACGGGCCACCAUCUGCUGCAGCAGAAUAAUCAGGGGGGGUGACGAAGAACUUGUGUACGUUGAUACAGCAGGAGUGGAAGCCCUUUAUUAUUGGACAGGAGCAGUAUUUAUACAUUCCAC